GAAAUGCGAAAAGUAGUGUGAAUUGCAGAAUUCAGUGAAUCAUCGAAUCUUUGAACGCACAUUGCGCCCCUUGGUAUUCCAUGGGGCAUGCCUGUUCGAGCGUCAUCUACACCCUCAAGCUCUGCUUGGUGUUGGGCGUCUUUGUCCCGCCUCCGCGCGCGGACUCGCCCCAAAUUCAUUGGCAGCGGUCCUUGCCUCCUCUCGCGCAGCACAUUGCGCUUCUCGAGGUGUUGCGGCCCGCGUCCAGAAAGCAAUCGUUACCGUCUUUGACCUCGGAUCAGGUAGGGAUACCCGCUGAACUUAAGC
rnacentral:misc_RNA from 1 species